UGCUAGUCCAAGUGCAGUGGUAUGUACAACUAAUUGGUCACAACCAGUUACAGAUUCCUUUGGUCCUUUUCCAUUCCCAUUGCUUCUCUUGACUAGCCUUUA
ensembl:misc_RNA Y_RNA Y RNA